rnacentral:misc_RNA from 1 species
CCUCGUUCUAUCAAGUAUCAACAGUCAAGGUUGCUUCCUUUCUUGUUACACAUCACAAAUUUUGUAAACUCAUCAAUCCAAUUGAAUUUAAUGAAUUAAAUAUUCAAUAAAAAAAUAUUGACUUGUUCAAAGUAGAAAAAAGUGUUUUGAAACUACUGAUUAGUUGCUUAAUGAAUGAAACAGUGCGGAGCUUAUACCAGUUCUCUGAUUAUGGAUAUUUUUAUUCAAAAAAUUUGAUAUGAAAUGAACUAUGCGACAACCCAUUACUUUGUUGAUAGCUGAUCUUCUUGAAUCAUGCUUGGACUUGGAAAUGAUAUUUUAUUUUCCUUAAUUUUAUCUUCCAUUUGUAUUGAUCUUUUUAGUCUUGCUGUGUCAUUUGAUUAUGUUGUUUUGUUGAAGUGUUUCAACAUUUUUUAAUGUAUUGCUUUUUGCUGCAAUGUGGUGUUAAAUGCGAUUAGUGGAUUAGCAUUGAUCACUGCCUGCUUGCUUAGCUAGUGAAAAGAUUCAGCACGUGUUCAAGGAACUAGAGAUAAAAUCCCAUGUCACCUCAUGAUGAGAUACAAGAUGAGAUCACUGGUGCAAAGUGUUGAAGGAGAGGAUUACAUAAGAAAGCACCCUUCAUGCUUUUGAAUCUCAUCUUCUUGUGGAUUGGGCGUAUCCCAAUUAUGUGUAGUGUGGAGUGGACUGUUGAAUGCUAUCAUGCUGGCAGCUACUUUAUUCGUAUACGACCUUUUUGUUGAGCUGAAGCACAAGUUAUUGCUUAAACUCUACCAUCCCUUUAUUCAUCAUCUUCUCAUUUUUAUAUCAAAAUUCAUGCGCAGACCAUAUCAACCAGUUAACUUUCCUGUCAUUUCAAUUCAAGGUAACUCCACCAUAGCACAAUUUGAAGGCACAUUUCUCUUUCCUGACAUUAUCCUUUACUUUGUUGACAUUUAUUCAACUCAUUCUCCUGCUGGUCUCAUCUUGUGUAAAAUCAGGAGGUGAUCCUUAUUCUAUGCUAAAAUUUUCCAGAGUGAUAAAAUACACCUGAAAGAUUGUAGUUGAAGUUUAUUGUUUGUAGCCCUAGGGAGAUAAUUACUGAUGGUUUGCUAGGCUUUUAUCACUGGAAAAGAAUUACAAUGAAUUUUGUGAUUUACUUGGGUAAAUUUUACCUUAACAAUGCAGAUGUUGUAAUCCAUCAAUGUAAUGUGGCUUACAUAAAACUGGGGGAAAAGUAUAAUAGCCCUUGGACUACAAGGCAGUGAGGAAAUAUCAAGGUUGAGAUAUGAGUUGUGCCCACGAACUAUGAAAGAAAGAAAAUUCUGGAGGAUAUAUUUUAUUAUAGUGAACAAUCAUGUUGCACCCUAUGAAAAGCGGUAUAUGGAGGAGGCAAUGCAAAAAUCUGCAGAGCAAGUAAAAGAUAAUGUAGUGGAGGAAAAAGCCAUGGCAACUUCCAAACCAGAGGUGAAGAAAUCAAACCACGAAAGUAAAACUUUGACCUCAUCAUCUGCUGAACAAGAUUUGGAUAUAUUUCUUCUGGGAGGAGACAGUGAUGAGGGUCCAGAUGAUGGUGAAGGGGACUUCGAUGAUUUUGACAAGAUGGUGGAUAGUUCGGUAAGCACUACUUAUUUUAUUUUUCUUUUGUACGUUGCCACUGCAACAAAUUGAUUUGUGGACUAGUCCCUUGUUCUUAGAAACGGAUGGCAUUGGCUCUGUGGUGAUCAAUUGGAUUUUAUUCCAGCUUAAUUUUGAAUUUUGGUAUUAGAAAAAUGUGAAUCAAAAUCCCCAGUAUAAGUUUUUUAAUGAAUAAUAAUAUCAAUGGAUAGGGAAUGUUUGGCAGAAACUCUUCCUUCCUUUCCCCCAUUGCCCAGAUGGGAGAAGAGGCUCAGUGUUAGGGUUACCUAUGGAAAAUGAGGUGGGCUUAGAUUUUGUAUCAGGAGCUGACCCAGAACAAGUCCUAUGCUUUCUGAAAAGAGAAAAUGAGGCAAACAGGAGUAGUUGUUUUAGUUAAUUUGAGACAAAUGUGGUUGAAUGAACUAAGUGUUAGAAAAUCUACUUCCAUUAGUGGAACUUCAUUCUUUAAUGAACUCGUACCAAAUUUGCAGCAUGUGUUUUUCCACUAUGACUAUUGGUUUUCCCCAUCCUCUCUCAUUGGUCCCCUUUUUUUUUAAUUUUUUUUUAUUGAGAGAGUUGGUGGGUGGAGGUGUGGGAUGUGCUUGCUAAUAAAUGAAAAAGCACAGCCAAUCACAUUUCUGAUACAUAUGUUUUGAUGACCAUAAUUCUAAUAAUAGCCUCAACAUAACAAUAUAACAUACAUGCAUGGAUGUAAAAGUCUAAUAAAGAAUUUCUUCUAAAAUAAUACUAAUUUUCGUUGUGAGCCUGCGGGAAGGAAGGGGCAACAGGUCUGAGCAUGUGAGAAGGAAGUGGCAGCAGGAAAAGGCAGCUCUUCUCUCCUUGAAAAGACAAAAAUGACUUCCAAUAGACAAAACCACAAAAUUAGAAAUUUUGGCCCAAAAUUAAUAUUCCAGCCAUUGGCAAUUAUAUGGCUAGUGGAUUUUUUUUUUUCUUUGGGGGGAGUUUUAAGUAGCAAUCCAGUUAUUAAAACAAACAAACACUACUGACUUGAGGACUUGCAUGAUAAAAGUAUAAUUUUGAAUCAUGCAUUUGCCUUUUUUUUUAAUAUAAGUUUAUGCUUUCUACUCUCUCUUUACGCCCAAAAUGAAUUCAAGGACGUUCCAGGUUACGUCACGCUGGUUCAUAUUAUUUCUGCCCUAUAUAGGCGAGGGACAAGGCAGGCUACCUGCGGUGAUUCGAUAAACUUGAAGACUUUAUGGUGUAUUAGUGAUAUGACAAAUUAUGCGUUUAUCAUAUAUUUGGUUUAUCAGUGAUGUGAUAAACUUGGAAGCUUUUUAAGUGUUUUCUCUGUAUGCUUGGUUGGUCUCCUUGCAUUGUGAGUAGUGGAUCUCUACAUCCACUUAAUAUUGUUACAAUCGUAGGGGUGGCGAUUGGAACUGCUGAAUAUGCAAUAUGAUUUUAAGAGACAUGAAGAAUCGGUUCAUUAGCGUCUGUGCUUUAUGUAAUGAAUUGAAUUCUCAGCCUCAUAUUGUGCUUGCACUAUUUUGGAUGUUUCUUAAACUGCAGGAUGAGGAGAAAGGAAAGUUAUAGAAUAUUGCUGAUGUGACAACAUUGGGGACUAUUGCUGCAUCAAAUUAUAAGAGAGGAAAUGCUGCAUUGACACAUGGAAUAAGCGACUUAGUGGAAAACCUCCAUUUCCAUACCUUCGCUUUGGAUGCAACUAUUGUCUUUUCUCUAUCUCUUUUGUUUUUUUAAUUUCUGUGUAAAGAAUGUUUAUUUGUUUUCAUUUUUUAAAAUUCUUGUCUGCUAAAUGUAAUUAAUAUUUAGUUU